GGCUUGGGCUGCCCUGCCUGAACUGCUCACUCCUGCCAGGCCAAGCCAAGCCAAGCCAGGGGCUCCUUGCCUCAUUUGGCUGCCUCUUCUGUGCCCUCUGAGUUUCCUGGGCUCCUUCUACUGGCAAGAAAGGCAGUGCCAUAGACAGAGACCCCCCAGUGGAAUGCUCAAGGCCAGGCUGGGAAGGAGAGGGCUCUUGACCUCUGCGGGCGGGCAGCAGCAGCUCUGAGCAAGAACUCCAGCUCCAGAGGAGAAAAUGAAACUGAAAUCCUGCCCACGGAAAGCUCGUCCAACUGGAGCGCUCCUUUAAUCCAUGUACUAAUUUAUUCAGAGCACAACAGCUGCAGGAGGAGAGGCCCAGAAGAGGGGAGCCUAGGCUGGGGCCUGGGGCCUGUGAGAGAGGGGAAUCCUGGGCCGCCAAGCAGGGUAGGGAAGCACAGGCCUCCUCAGGCCUCCUGUGGUGGGCAGGCCAGGCCUAGCAGAGACAGCUCACUGGAGGGAAGGCAGGAAGAGAAGGGCUCCUGGAGGGUCCAGUGGGGUAGUGAGGGUCCAGUCCCGUCUUCUCCUCAUUCAUCUUCUUUUCCUCCUCUUCCUUUCCUAUGCUUCACUGUCUCCUCUUGCUUCCCCUUCCCUUUCCUUCCUUUUCUUUUAUUCACCCCUUCAUCUUCCUCCUGGCCUUCAUUUUCACUCAGGACCUUCUCCAAUUUCCAGAGGCCAACCUGACCCCCCCACCCCCAGGACUUCUUCAAGAGGCCACCCCCACCUUGGACUAAUACCUUCUGCUUCCUGACCAGAUACUUCCCACCAUGCCUCCACCUGCUCCUGCCUAUAGGAAAGUUGGCCUUCUGGCCCUCAAAGGAUGCAAAGGAUACCAAGUGUGAUGAGGAUGGGCCUUGAGGGAGGUCCUUGGACAGUCUCCUCACCUGCUUUUUCAACAUAGAAAAUCCCACCAUAAGGCGUCCACUCUUCUCCCAUUGGUUCUCUGAGGUUCGUGGACACAACGCUCACCUACUGACUCUACGCCUUCCUUUGCGCUGGGCAUCCCCAGGCCUGGAUGCUCGACAUUGUCACUUCAGCUUUUUUCAAGACUCAGCUGAAAUCCCAUGAUCUGCACAAGCCUUUCCUACCCCCCACUUUGGCCUGCUGGUGCCUUUGCCCUGAGAUGACCUUCUAUUUGUAUUCUGUGUGUCGUGUGUUUGCAUGUUGUCUCCCCCAUUAGAAUGGGAGCUACUUGGGGACAAUGUUUUGCCUCUCUUUGUAUCCCUCA